rnacentral:rRNA from 1 species
AUGAACGCUGGCGGCGUGCUUAACACAUGCAAGUCGAACGAUUAAAGCUCACUUCGGUGAGUGUAUAGAGUGGCGAACGGGUGAGUAACACGUGGGAAACCUGCCCCUUUCUUCGGGAUAACUUCGGGAAACCGUUGCUAAUACCGGAUACUCCGGGAUGGUCGCAUGGCCGACCCGGGAAAGCUUUAUAGUGGAAAGGGAUGGUCCCGCGGCCCAUUAGCUUGUUGGUGGGGUAAUGGCCUACCAAGGCGAUGAUGGGUAGCCG